AGUGCCACACGAGACGCGUCGCUGCACAAGCGCACAUAUAUUUAAGCCUUUGCGUUUUCUGCAUAAGCCUGCAACGCUGUGCAAGUAUUUCAAGGCUGUAAUAAAAAUGUUUGUGCACGUUGCAGCUGUUUCCCUCCUCAGCACUUUUGAGAUCGCAAAGGCCUCAGGGAUCUGAUAAUGCACCUGAAAGAAUUUUUGGAAUUUGUAAAGAUAUACAGUAUUAGUGAAGAACUUCAACUAUCUGCCGCUUUAAUCCCAAGAUACCAGUGCUGGUAGCCCUACUGGUCUUGGAAAAAAAACAUACUAGUUGAAAUGUGCAAGGGCUCUCAGGGGAAGGCUGGUUGUAGGCUUCCCUGCAUAGCUGGCUAUAUCUGGGGAAUACAGAGAGCGAGAGAGAGAGAGGGAGAGAGAGAAAAAAAGACAGAGAGAGAAUGUGUGUGAAGCUGCCAAAAGCAGCAAUAAGUCUCACAGAGUAAACACAGCUCAUCGGGGUAAACUGCCCCUGCAUGCCUCCUCUCCUUUCUUGUUCUUCCCUAAAUCGCUCUCUUUGUCUCUCCUUUCUUUUUUAUCUAUCUUUUUCCAUUUUUUCCUCCCCUCUCCUCCGCGCUUGCUCGGCUCAGAACGCAUCCAUUCAAAUCCCCUGAUUGGCACGACAAGAGAGAGACACCUACCGCACGCUGCCAAAGCCAUACAGGCUAAAUCCGUGGAGGUCAGAGUUGUCCGGCAUAUCACCAUGUAAGGCUGAGGAGCAUGAACUGCUUUCUGGGCCACUGAAAAAAAAAAAAAAACCCUUGGAGGAACAUUUUUUUAUUAUUAUUUUUUAAGCUGAAAAUAAAAGCAACGUCUCCCUGCUGAGAGAUGAUGAUGAGGAGGACUGAUGAUAUGUUUGGACUGUAGAAUUAAAAUGAAUAGAAGGGAUACUUGGGUGUGUGUUUGAGUGGGACGUCUCAGCAUAUGCAAAUUACAUACAGUUAGGUGCAAGGAAACAUCUGCAAAAUCAAUAAAUCAAUGCAAAACUUUA